CCCACCCCGAUUUGCUUAAAUUGCAGGGCACUAGUAUUCAUGGUUAAUGAGCAAAAAAAGCCCAUGCAGUUCUAGAGCUACAUUUCUUUUAAAAAGCAAAACUGUAUAGGAGAGUUUCUGAGUUCUGUCCCGCAACCCCCACCCCCUCAUACCAGCGUCUGAGAAUCUAGUUUAGUCUAAUAAAGAAGCUGAACGCACACACACCCUUCCCAAGUUUCUGUUGCACACUUGUUAAAAAUUCUUUUUGUCUUCCUAGCCCUGGACUUUAUGAAAUGAAACACAAAUCAGGCCCCUGGAAUAAAAGGUUGCAUGUAUGCCUUGUGGCAUUUUGAAUGAAACUAUUCACUGCCUGAAUAACUAUAAAUAGAAAGCCAGGAGCUGUCUAUUUCUCAACUUGGGGCUCCCUGUAAAGGAGCACCCUUCCCAGUAAAAGGUGACUUUUGAAAGAAAACUUUGUUCUUUCCUUGUGGGAAUUGAAUUGCUCAGGAAUUCUUCUUCGUGCACUUCUGGUUAGAAGGCAUUAAUCUCCAAUUUAUUUUUAACAACAGCAUUCUCUGUGUAAUAAAUGUGUAUUCUUGGACCUGUAGCCAGAUAUGCCAUCUCAUCUGUGGAGUUCCAUGUAAAAUUCUGAAUACAGAACAAACAGUUCUCUUUGCAUUUUGCUGCAGAAAGCUUUCUAUUGGCUCUCUUCCAGCUGUCGGCUCCUUUUUAUCUUGUAUUCAUUUUUUAGUAAGAAGGCUAAAUUAGUGGUGCACAGGGUUUUUUCAGGUUUUGAGAGACAGAACAAGAAUCGUGAUUGAUUUUAUUAUUAUUAUUACUAUAAAAGAUUUUAUUCUCCCAAUGGACUUCUGAAGUUGCCGACAUAAGAACCCCAAUAGCUUACUGUUGCAGUUCUUCAGGCAAUUUGUUUGGUUGAUUUGGCCGAUAUGAAUGCUCAGAAAUCCCCUGUGUUGUGCACUUAUGCAAAUGCAGUGUCAGACUACUUUCUCCUCCCCUUUUAGGUUUUUCUAAAGAAACCAGGAGAUGCGGGGAGAGGAGUUGCUCAUUGACUGGUAUAGUUCUACUGGCUUUGAUGGGGCUACAAGCAUGAAAGUAGUGAAAGUGGUCAAUAAAUCAUCCGCCUGAGCAGGCAAUUUAAAAAACUGUCUUACACCACAAUUGUUUGAGUUGUGAGAAGGGGAAUUCACACCUAAGUUGGAAGCUUUCUGCAAAAUUAACAUGAAAUUUGAAUCACCUCCCUGUUAAGUCAUUUUGUUUUCGCUUCUACAUAUCUUUUCAUUUCUUUCUGUGAUUGGAUAUGCAAAGUACUGAGGAUAGAUUUGCAUCCUGGUCUUGGUUUUUAGUUAAGAGGCAUUUCUUAUUAUGAAAGCUUACAACUUAAACCUAUUGAAAACUACCUAUUAUAGUUAAACUUCAGCUUUAUUUUUGAAUAAAAAGCAACAGGAAACAAUUCUUUGAGGCCUAUCAUAAUUUUGUAUACUGAAUUAAUCUAGAACUGGGAAAUGGCCAUACUUCAGCUUGCAUGAGGAAAUGACGGGAAAUAGUUAAACUUAAAGAUGAUUGAUUACGCAUGUGGCUGAAUUGUAAGAAACCUCUAGGUGGCUUAAGUUGUUUUUAACACACACACACCCCAGUUGAACAUUGGCAUAGGCAAACAAUAUAAUGCCCCAUGUCUUUCCACUUAAUAUUGGUUGCCUCUUGGCUUUUAUGAUUGCAGUCGUUUGUAUGUCUGCAUGCUGAUUUCAUUGUAAUGCUCCAUAUGUUUUGCUUGUCACCUUUUAUUGUAAGACUUCCUUCACCUAAGGUGGCCCCCUGCUGCCCUUUUGCAUGGCAGCUCCUAUAGGUAGCCCUGCUGCCUUUUCCCUUUCUAACUUUCCCUUGGGAGCCUGUUGCGAACUAUUGAAGACGUUGAAUCCAUUGUCAGUUUUCAUCUUGCUUUGUCUCUGCGGACUUUGUUCAUCAUUUACUACAAUUUUACAAGGGUUUUUGAAAAUGUCGUCUAUCAUCCAUUCAUAGAUGUAAAUUUUCCAUUCAGUUGUUUCUGUUUACAGUGGCUAGAUUCCUCCCCCCUUUGUAAUGGCCAUUUGCCUUUUUAAAUCUCUUCUGGAGAGUUUAAUUUCCGUAUAAUACAACAUCAUAACAUGGUUGCUUAAAUGUUGAUUGAGGUCCUACGUAUAACAAGAAAUUUUUCUAUAGCUGAAAUUUCUGAACUUUUAAAAUAUGCUACCAUUGAUUGGUUGUUAUCUAAUGCUAGCGUCUGCAAAUAUAUAUAUUAAAUGUAUAUAACUGGUUUAAGCACGUUUAGUUAUUGACAAAUAGUUUCAGCAUGUUAGAGGAUUAUACAACUGUGUUGCUGCUUGGAUUUUGAACUGACCUUGUAGCUGUUGACUGGCCUUGUUUCCUAAUUGCAUCAAAUUGUAAUAUUUUAGAGGAUGACGGACUAUGAGUUUAGCUGCAAUGAUACACACAUCCUGUUUAAAUCCCAUUGAAAAUCAAUGGGUUUUAAUCGGACUAAAUGCAUGCAAGAUUACAGCCAGUGUCACUACUGCUACUGUUAGAAUAGUUCCCAUUACCAAGUCCUCUAGUAAUUGUCUGUCACUUGGUGAAAACCAAAGAUGGUGAUUUACAAAGGAAGUAUAGCUGCAUAAGAACUGGCAUGCAAAUUUUCUUACCCCAAGUCCGCCUAAGUACUCAUUAUUUCAUUUCAGCACUAAUCACUAUCCUUGGAUCUAAUUCUCACUGCUUUGGUCUCUUGUUCAGCCUUCCAGUAUAUUGCUGUUUAGGACUAUGGUUUGCAUUUUGAAGUUCAAGCAUUUAAUUGCUAUUGUGAAGUCAUUAUGCUAACACGCAAAUUCCUUGUGCUAACACGCAAAUUUCCAUGCUGAAUUCUUGACACUCAUAAAUAUAUUAGUGAAAUGCUGUAAGAUAAAAAUAUAUUGCAUGUGUUUUAAUCUCUUCCAAAAGUGUUAUAGCCCCUACACUAUUGGCACCACUUUGAAACAAAAUGAUGUUGUCACCUAUUAUGGCCAACUAAAGACUCCUCUUUUUUUUAAAAAAAAAAAAUCCUGCUAUUGCUCAAUACAUUCUCCUUUCAGUGUGAGACUUUUUAUUACUUGGUGCCAUGUGCAACCUAAUUGCUUUCCAUAUUGCCGUAUUGGAGAAAGAUUCCCAGCUAACUACUGUAAAUGUGAACAUGCAUCAGACUUAACUCUUCCUGUGGGAGUUAUCUAGGAUAAGAUUUAUUUCUAGUAGCUUUACUUACUGCUGCUAUAGUAAGAUGUGGGCUAGAAAGAAGGCUGGAGAAAUGGAUUUGACCAAAGCUUAACUGCCAGUGGUCUUCCACUGUAGCUGCAACAAGGCCAGAUAUUAUGAAUCUUGUUAAAACAUAACAAGGCUAUGGAUGUCCCGGUCUCCCAACAGUCAUUUGGGUCAGCUUUCCUGUGGUGGUUCAUCUCUCACCCUUCAAUAUACUGUAUAUAUUUUUUUUUAUUGCAUUUAACUUGAUAAGCUAGGGGUGGCCCAAAUUACUCCCAUCAAAAUGAAUGUAGAAAGUGAAACAACCAAUAGCUUAACUGGGGUCCAUUCUAUCCACAGCAACUUCUGAAAAUAGGGUGUGUAAAACCUUAGAAUUUACAUGUACCACAAAGUACAUGUUUUAUGUGGUCAAUACUACUUCAAGAGCCCUGGAGUAGGGCCUCCCCUAUUUUUGUAACAUAAAAACAAAACUGCGUUGCUGAGUGUACAGUAAAAAAAAAAUCAUUGACCAGAAACUUCAGGGGUCUGUUGGAUCCCAGGGGUAUUUUUUCUGCUUCAUCUUGGCCUCCCAAAAAAAGAGCGCUUCACAAAUAUUUAAGCAGUUGGAAAUGGAAGCUUGGGGGGGUGUUGGGUUAGCAUAGAGGCACUCCAAAGUUUGGUUGGAGGCUGCAUGUAAUGGCCUUUGAGGAGGAGGAGGAAGCAGCCUGCAGAAAACAAGCAACUCCUUUUUGUAGGUGCAUCUUGAGCUCACAAUCUUUCAGGCACAUUUCCUUGUUUUCGUCACUGUGUUGGGAUCUUAAGAUACCAAUAAUUGAUUUGUAGGUGUGAGUGGGGUUAAGCAAAGGCACAAUUGUCUCCUCCAACUUAUCUCAUGGGUGGGGUGGAAGCCGGGUCCUGUUACUCCUGCGUCAUAUUGUGUGCCGUGCAUUUUAAUUAUUAACUUUAUAAUAAGGGAGGGGUUUCACAAAUGAGGUUGGGGUGAGGGAGGGAUGAAUGUUCCAAGUGUGCAAAAUCAAAAGUUUUACCAAAAUGUUAACAACAACAACAGCCAUAGUAACAAGGAACACAUGACUGGAGAGAGCUUUUCUACCCUUGCUGGUAUAUGCAAACCUAGUAACCCUUCAUGCUUUUGACUAUUGUAGUGUAAUUUGAUUUUUCAUAGCCUUGUUCACCAUCUGAACGGUAUGGAAGAUGGUGUGAGAGAGCCAAUAUUGGCUAUACUCAGAGUAGACCCUUUGAAAUCAAUGGAAUUAAGACCAUUGAUUCAAUGUGUCUACUCUCAGUAGGAUAUAGUUUGAUAUCACCCAGUGUUCAGAUUAAGGCACAAUCUAAUGUAUUCAAUUGUGGGGGGGGGGGUAGCAAAGUGGCAGAGCAAUUUCAAUAUAAGGCAUCUCCACAUAUAUUUUUUUUAAAAACUGUUAUUAUAAAAGCAUCAGGUAAGCUGAUGGUGGGAAAAACCUCUGCCUGAGACCCUGGAAAGCUACUGUCAGCCAGAGUAGACUGUGUUGGGCAAGAACAUCAAAUAGCCUGGCCUGGCUAAGGCAGCUUUCCCCCUCUUUGGGCCUCAGACUGAAUGGAGGCAAGCAGCUUGCCACUUACUCCCCUUUCAGCCUAACUGCCAGGCGCCAGAUGUGUGCAUGUCCCUGUGUGCCGCUCUCCGCUGCCAGCAUUUUGCUAGCAGCAGGAGGGCAUGUGCACAUGUGGCAUCCUCUUCGCUUGCUUGCUCCAAACCAAACUGGAUUGGCUGGUGGUGGUAGCAAGAAGUUCCUCUUCUCGAUUCCUGCUUGGCUUUAUGCCCAGCUGUUAAAAGUUCAGGUUCCUUUUCCUUAUUUCUGUCUGUUCACCUGAACGGCUGCUGCUGGUAAAUAACACUGCUCAGCAUGGUGCUGCCUCUGCCAUUACCAUCUAUUACCUUAAUCUUUUAAGAACACAUUUCCCCCAGGCUUUUGUUAAAGCUAAACCCUGUCUUCUGUAUGUUAUAAUUAUUUGUAUUGAUGUUAUGUAUAUUGAUGUAACCUUUGUGUUUUUAAAUUUGCUGCAUACCACAGAGAUAAAUAAAUGGAUGAUGAUGAUGAUAUCCUGUCCCUCCUUCGUUCCUCUCCCCCAGCCGCCGACAGGAAGGAGACAUCCCGGGGUCCCCCGGAGCCGAAGUGCAGCGGUGUGGGGGUGUUUUGCCGCCUGCCUUCCCCAAGCCAAGGGGAAGGCAGGCGGCAAAAAGCCCUGGCAAUUUUUCACUGCACGCUGGACUUUGCAGUCGGAGGUUCGUUUUUCUAUGGCCAUGCUUCGCAAGACGAAGCGGCGGCCAUAGAAAACCUCGUUGUCUUGCGAGGCAACCUCUGAUCGCAAAAUCCAUUCGUCUAGCGAAAAAUUCGUCUUGCAGGGCAUUCGUUAAGCGAGGCACCACUGUAUAUGUGUGCAUGUAUUAGCUGUAUGACUUUUGCAUGCUGUCAGUCUGUCAUAUAUUUAGACCUGCUGCUGCCUGUCCUGAAGGUACCGUAUACUGGAACAGGAUUGAACAAUUCUGUGAAUAUAAAGAACAGAAGACUUGUGUAGAAUUCAAUAAUAACUAGAAUCAGAAUGAAGAGACACUUCUUUUAUUCAGGAUUAACUUAGUCUAGUUUGUGCAUUUAGAAAUCAUAAGAAACUCCCAAAUGACAUUUAUUUCAUAGAAUUAUAGAAUUGUAGAGUUGAAAGGGACCCCAAUGUUCAUCUAGCCCAAACCCUGCAAUUAUUUAUUUAUUUGUAUCAUUAUUUAAUUAUAUUUGUUAGUGGCUUUCCUCACAAAAGUGACCCAAAGCAACUUAAAUUUAAUUAAAAGACAUGCAACCUAUAAAAACCUAAAAAGACAUACUUAGAGAAAUUCUUUAUUAACUUAAUCUCCCAUAGAUCACUUAGGCAUUCAUAUCCACAUUGGUUAUUCCUGUAGAGUGUUUUAAUGUAACUCAUAGGUGAACAGUACAAGCCACACAGAUUUCUACUUUUUGUAUAUAAAACAAACAUUGUACUUGAAUGAAGACUUCCAGUUGAUACAAAACAAAAGUACAUAUGUUUCUACUAUGAUAAUAAACAUUAAUUUUUAAAAUAUGUUUUAGGGUUUUCCUUGAGAAAUCUAAUUGACCCCACCUCCUACAAUCCUGCUUUGUUGUUUUAGGGCAGGCAUCCCCAAACUCAACCCUUAGAUGUUUUGGGACUACAACUCCCAUCAUCCCUAGCUAACAGAACCAGUGGUCAGGGAUGAUGGGAAUUGUAGUCCCAAAACAUCUGGAGGGCUGAGUUUGGGGGUGCCUGUUUUAGGGAAUGCUCAUAUAUUAUUGUUUUUUAACUAUCCAGCAACAACUGCCUUUUCUGCUGUUGCUUGACUUCUCCCAGCUAUUAACCCUGCAGGUUACAGGCCCCAUUGUAAAAAGCAGCUGCACCUGGAAGCUGAUUGCAAAUGGGUUGGGUAGGUACGGCCAAGAGUAACUAUUACUACCACUCCAAUUUCUUACUCACCCUUCACUAUAAGGUUCCACAGCACAUUCUGGCAAUUAAAAAAAUACAAUAUUAAAACACGUUUAAAACAAAUUACACUCACACUAAUAGUAUGGGUCCUGAAAUACCUAUCAGGUAUCAAAGGGAAAGAGGAGUGGUUGGUUUCAGCAUACAGAACACUUGUAUAGAAUUCAAAUAAUAACUGGAAUUUGAAUUCAGGGAUGUUUCUUUUAUUGAGGAUUAACUUGGUCCAGUUCAUACGGCGGUGGCAGCGGCAGCGGCAGUGGCAGCAGCAGCAUCUCUUAGUAUCAGUAGUGGUAUAUUUGGCCAGUCAGUUCCAUAUAAUUUCUCUCUUAUAGCUCAGAGCUAGAGCCCCUGAUGUGCACGUAGAAGGUCCAGGUUCAAUUCCUGUUAUCUCCUGGUGGUUCUGGGAGAGAUUUCUGCCUGAAACCCUGGAGUGUUGAUGAUGCUGGGCCAGGCAGACGAAUGGUCUGUCACGGUAUAAAGUGGCUUCCUAUAAUUAUCUGAAUGUUUCCCAUCACAGUUAUGAUUCACAACAGAGAGCUUUAUUUGUACUAUUUUAAGGUUCUUUCUGAUGUGUGUACCUUUGUCCGAUUAACUAGUUCCAAAUAAGUCUUGGACACAGAAUUAUUAUUAUUAUUACAUUCACUUUCUAUAACAAACAAAAACAACCCCCCCCCCCAGUUUAAAAGGCCAUAGCUUGUCUAAUUAACCAAAGGCCUGGUAAAAGAGGAAUGUUUUUGCCUGGCAUGUAAAGAUAUGUAAGAAAGAUGCCAGGAGAGCAUUCCACAAGCAGGGAGCCACCACAGAAAAGGCCCGUUCUCGUGUUGCCACCCUCUGGAUCUCUUGUGGAGGGGGCACACAAAGAAGGGCCUCAGAUUAUCAUUGCAGGGCCUGGGUUGGUUCAGUCCUUGAGAUAUGCUUUCCUAACUACAGAAUAGGUAUAGGAAGACUGGCUUGCUUGGAUAGAUGAGUUGGAAUGAGAUGGAAAGAGGACUAAGGCUUGAAUGAUUAAGCUGCAUGAGCAUUUAAUUUUUUUUCCAUUAUAAGGGAAAUACAUUGCUUUGGAAAUACCUUUAAAGCAAUGGGUUCAAUUUUACAACUGGCAAGUGUACUUUUGGUUGCAGAAGACAUUCCUGCUGUAGCUUACUGCACUGCCCAUAAGUUGUUCCUAAAGCCCAAGGGAGCCUCAAAACAAUAUUUGAUCUGGUGAAUUGCCCCCUUGUGUAAGCAGAUGUAUAUUUUCUUUCUUGGAAAGGGCGCCAUUAGAGCCAAGCUCAUUUUAAAAAAACAAAAUUAAAUCUUCUCUUGAAUGGAUACACAAACAUAUGUGUAUAUCUACAGGUGUGAUCUUACAAUAUUCAUUACAUAGGUUAAAACACAAAUGGAUGCUUCCAUAUUUAUGAGCCUCGAGUUUAAAUGAGGCCAUUACUUAAUAUCUCUCGAAAUUUUUGGCAAACAGAAUUGUACAUGUGUAGCUAUCGGCAAUGAAAGUCCCUGAUGCGUAUUAAUUCAAGGUGGGGAGAGUAACAUGCAUUGAUCUUUAAUUAGUCAACGGAGCACAGUUUGCAGAAGCUUGUUAGGUAUUAAUAGACGCUUGUGUUGCCUGGGGGUAGGGGGAAAGAAUGGGAUGCAUAAUUGAGCCUAUCUCUAAUCAUUCCUUAUGUCAUAAAAUUCCAGCCAGACACAAUCAGUGUGCCUUGCUUUGGUUUUGUCAGUGGGAGCCUUAGAGAGUGUUUGCGUGUAAAAGCCGCUUUUAACUUGCUAUGCUCUUGUUUUGUAAUGCAGGGGAAACACUACUUAGGGACAGGUAUUUGCUUUCUAAAAACGUUAUCAUCCUUAUUGAUUAGACAGUGAAGGAAGGCAACUACCAGAGAAGGGUGUUGGUAUACAUCUGUUAAGUUACAGUUGUCUCGGACAUGACAUAACAGCUACUAAUCCAUGCUACCUAUUGUCUUGCCUGAUGCUUGGCUUUGGGUGUUUAUUAAAACAUAAAGCCAUAUGUGUUUGGUAGACUUCCAUAUUUCAUGUUGAAUUUACACUCUGGGUUCCCUACCCUCCAGAACGUGUAAAAGAAAUUGGUAUAGGCUGGACACCCGAAAAGGCUGUUUAAGGAGCAAAGAAAGAUAUACAAUGAUUGGUGCAGUGGAAGAUCUGAAAUUAUAGAGUUUAAAUGAACCGUGUCUGGAUUGAGGCUAUGAUCCAGUUCAGGUAAAAAUAGAGGCUAUUGUCCCCCUUUUUGAAGAAGAAGAAGAAGAAGAAGAAGAAGAAGAAGAAGAAGAAGAAGAAGAAGAAGAAGAAGAAGAAGAAGAAAGCACACACCUACUUUAGUCGGGAUUGCUCUCCCAGUGUUCAUAAGCAUGACACUGCAUGCCUUCUAAAAAUGGAAAGGAUGCAAGAGUAAGUUGCACACACACACACACCGAAAAAGCCCAAAGCUCACUCUUGAUUUAACCUGAAGUAGAAUCACAGGGAUGAUGUGAUGUCUCAACAUGCCCUUGGUUUGUAUUGAAAAGCCAUAUUUUGAAUGCAACGUGUCACAACUUCAGUCAAAUAGCUCAUUGUAGCAUAGAAGCUUCCAUUAUCUUUCCCUUUUACCGGGCAGCUGUUCUCUUUUUUCUAAUCACAUUUGGCUUCAUUAAAAUGUUUUGCAUGGCUUUAGCAUGGAUCAGACUAAUGACACCUAGGAGGGAGCAAAAGGAAUCCUGAGAAGCAGAAAGGCUGACCUGCAUCAAACCCAAAGGUGCAUGUGAAAAUGAUGACCCAUUAAUAGUGUAGACUAGGACAUGACUUUUGAAAUAAACAGGUAGAAGAUGUCCAAAACAUUGCCUAUUGUCCAUAAGUUUAUUUGUCUUUAUUUGCUAGCUAGACUGAGGCAAGCAUAUUUAUUGGUCCUUUAUUGGAAUAGAUAUUGAAUCACUUUGUUUAUAUUUUUGCAAAAUUACUUUGCAACCUGCCAUAUUGGACUUCAGAAAUACACAGCAAACCCAGCCCAGAGAAAUACCUGGUUGAUGGAUGUUGUUUCUCUCUCUUCCCUCCCCCACCCCAUUUUUUUCAUUCGUCUUUCCCUCAAACUUUCUCCUUAGAGGACCAUUGGGGCUCUUUGAAUAAGCAAAUUGAUAUGCUGUUAAAUGGAUAGACAUAACUUUUACCAAAUUAUAAAGGAGAAAAAGCAGCAUAUAUGAAUCAUUGUUAGUCAUAUGAAACUUCUCUUGCUUUUUUUAAAAAAACAAACCUGAGUUGCUCUAUCAUUUAUCUUACAACUUUGGGGGGCUGACUCAUAUUUGUGAACACAGUGGUUCAACAGAACUGGGAUUUAUGGUGAUUGCAGGUCUAGGCAAACAACUCAAGUUUCCGAUUGUGUCACAAGAACAUAUACAGUUACUAAUCUGCAGUGCUACCAAGUGGGUGAGCAAAUGUAGCAUCUUUAGAGGCAGAAAUUCUGCAUGUGUAUGGAUAGACAUGGUGCACAAUGCACUUUUAUAUUCCUUCUUUGGGAAUGACUUUUUUCUAAGUGUAAAUUGGAAUCUCAGCCAACAAUCAAACAGAACAAGACUAAGCAAUGAAGAAAUGGAAUGUAUUUCAGCCUUGGUGCGAAGUCAGAAUCACAUUCGUUUGUAAAAUAAAACGUGUGAAUAAGCUGUGGACAUUUGAUUCAUUAUAACUUUCCAGGAUUGUUCCUUUCUAUUGAGCAGCUCUCCCCUUUCAGUUUUUGCUGGGAAGUCCAUUGAGCCUUUAGAGGGAAUAAUUGUCUUUAGGUUGUGAUCUUUCAUGGGUUGUGCUUUUUU